rfam:Schistosoma rodhaini strain Burundi genome assembly, scaffold: SROB_scaffold0006882
AUCCAGCUGACGAGUUCCAAAUAGGACGAAAUGCGAGUCAUGGAU